rnacentral:lncRNA from 1 species
GAGGAGGAAAAUCAUUUGAAUCCAAUACAUUUCAAGUCUAACAAGUUUCUUCAUUCCUUGAUCAUAUGGAAGUCUUCCAUAUGUGCCAAACGUACUUGCACAAGCUUAAAGAUCCAUUUGUGAACCGAAUUGGUGGGCUAGGUUGCAUUAGAUCAACUCCUCUUAUGCACCAGGAUAAGGAGCUACAUUUCACUAGAUCAACUUCUUAAAUUACACCAGCAUGAUACAAGUUUUGUGCAUGCUAUUAAUGCUUUUUUGAAAUCAGAUCUGAAAUUCAUACAUGAACAAGUAGCAUACUAAGUAUGACUAUAGUUCAGUGAAAUAUUGAUAAAAGAGUGACAAUUUGUUCACUAAAAGAGAAUUUGGCCAUAACAUUGAAGUUCCCAUGAUCCCUUCCGUUAGUUGCAUCAAUCCUUUUGUGCUUUAAUUAGGCUUGCAUGUCCAUGAUCUGCAGACAAAGUAUAUUGUCAUGAUCUUAACAGUGAAAAGCACUUUAAUCGAAAGAAAGCUUCCUCAAAAUUUUCGGUAUGAAUAUUAUCUAACAAAUGGAAACUUCACAAAUCAAAUACAUCAAGCUCAGCUUGCAUGACUUAAAUAUUAAUUGUUGCUUAGUAGCAAGCAGAUGCUUUACAUCCAUUGAACAUACUACAAUAUCAAUGAACUGCAACAUCACAAACAAAGUUUCUAGGUCAUGAAAACAUAUUUACUAUAAAAAAAAGCCAAUUUGAUGGAAGAGAAAAAUAAGAUUGAAUCUCAUCAAACAUAUGGAGAAUGAUCAAAAUAGCUAACCAACAAACUAAAAUUGAUAAGUAAAGGUAAUUUAUUAAUAAUAUCCUACUACCAAGAUGGUAUUAAGACAGUAUAAAAAUAAAGCUGAAUUAAUCCUUUCAUAUCAUACCACAAAAAGACAAAUACACAACAUAUUUACUAACUAUUCACUUAAGAAAAGCUAAAUUAAUCCUUUCAUAUCUUACCACAGAAAGACACUAAUGCAACAUAUCCACUGAAUUUUCAUAGAAAGUUUAUCUUGUUCUCACUUCUAAUAUUAGUAGUAAAGUUUAAAAGGAAUUCAUGGUGAAAUUAUUAAUUCUUAUGUUACUUCCAAGUGACAGUGUCUUCCUUUAAGUUUUGGUGGUACUUGCCUUUAAGUUUCGGUAGUACUUUCUUGUCACACGGGACUCAUAUGCGCACAAACCAAACAUACCCAAAAACACAAAAAAUGCACGAUAACUUACGAAAAUGCAAAUAUUAAUGUAGUUGAAAAGCAACUUAACAUGCUACAAACAUUAGCGAAUUAAUGUUUACCCUUUUCAAUUGAGGAAUUCUUCAACAAAAUAAUCUAACUAGACAUAAGAUAUAAUAAAUUACUCCUCCAUACUAGUUUAUGUAAUGCAAUUUGACUAGGCAUGGAGUUUAAGAAAGAAAGAAAGACUUCUGAAACUUGUAGUCUAAACUAAGUAAUAGAUAUUUUUGUGACUAUAUAUCAUCUCAUUAAGGGUAAAAUGGUAGGUUUAAAUUUAAAUUAUUUCUAAAUAUAAUAAGGUAUCAUUCUUUUUGAUACAGACUAAAAAGGAAAGUGCAUCACAUAAAUAGGGACAGACAGGGUUGGUUUUUACAAGCAGUUCCAGAUCUGCCACUUCAUAUUAAGAUAGAUCGAUAAAAUUUACUAAAAGAAUAUCUGCAAAACCUUGUACAUAGGCGUGAUAGCUACUACAUCCAUGACACUUGAAGAGCUAAUUCAACCGAACUCAACCAAGUGAAAAGCAUUUUAACCAAAUUAUCUUACAACUAAAAUUACUAUGCAUACUUUUAGACGUGAGAGAAUAUAGACCUGGCUUAUUACCGAUAAAUAGACUUAACAAUCAUUUGGACAUAUAAGUAUAAGCUUAUAGAAAAGCCAGAGUAACUCAUACAGCAAUAAGGAGGCAUCACUUUCUUAGGAAUCAAUAAUACUUGCGAUUUCGCAUCUC